rnacentral:rRNA from 1 species
UACGUAGGCAGCAAGCGUUGUUCGGAAUUACUGGGCGUAAAGAGUGUGUAGGCGGUGCUCCAAGUCUGGUGUGAAAUCUCCCCGGCUCAACUGGGAGGGUGCGCUAGAAACUGGAAUGCUAGAGGAUGGGAGAGGUAAGCGGAAUUCCUGGUGUAGCGGUGAAAUGCGUAGAUAUCAGGAGGAACACCUGUGGUGUAGACAGCUUACUGGACCAUUCUGACGCUGAGACACGAAAGCGUGGGUAGCAAACAGG